UGCAAAUCGGGUCGGAUCAACCCACAUGGGUGACCCAUUUUCUUCCAACAUCUCCCACUUGCACAUGAUGGGCUAGACCUGAUUCUAAUAUAAUAUCAAUUAUAUUAAUCUCAAUAUCUCCAAGUUCAUACAGGUAAAUGGAUCGUGCGACCGAUGAGUUAAUUUAAGAGCAAACAAUAUUAUACACCUGUUAGGGAUAUAUAGCAGCUUUAGAAGAGAAAUUAUAUUUCUCGCAAUACCCCAGACAUAUUUUAUAACACCAUUUCGAGUAUUUUUGACCCCUCAAUUCAUUUUAGAAUAUACUCAACUUUCUCAUUUAUAUUAUAUUCACAAUUGUGUCACAAAACUCAAAUAAUUAACACAAUUGUCCGGCCGAUGAAUACAAGUUGAGGUAUUAGUUAAAUAGUCUUCCUUUCCUACUUGAAUCCCUUCAUUUCAAGUUAGCUGCUUUCCUAGACAUGUCUUAUCAAACCGAAUCAAUCAUAGUUAUUGGUAACAUGCUAAAGUAGCAACACAAAAAUAAAAUUUUGAGAAAUUAUAAAUGAGGUCAAAUGUACCUCAGAGACUCACACAAUGAAGAUGCAGGGAUCAAUUCUUUCAUUUUUCAUUGGUCAUUAAAGCACACAUGGUACGAAACACAUGUUACGAUGUUUUCUCCCUUUCUUAGGGCAUAUGUCUAAUCUUGCAAAUUAAAUACAUCGUACAAAUCAUAGUUCAAAUAUUCAUCAUAUCUAACUUGAGUUAUCCUUAUAUUCAUUCCUCCAAGUAUUCUCAAAUCGAGAACUCGAUCUAGCUAUUAAACGGGUUUAAUGGAUAGAAAAAUAUAUUUCGAUUACUUGUUGUAAUCUCAUCUUGAUACCUUAAUAAGGAGACUGGAUCAUGUACACAAUAUGAUCACUAUUAAGGUCACAGGAUCAUGUACAUAACACGAUCAUUUUGUCUCAUCUCAGCACAUCUCAAAACGUAUGAGGCGAUUGCCCAUGUGAGUGGGCCAAUCU
rnacentral:lncRNA from 1 species